rfam:Salmo salar isolate Sally breed double haploid chromosome ssa16, whole genome shotgun sequence.
GGUCCUGGACGCUGUGGAAGACUAGUGAUUUUGUUGUUGUAAAUUUAGCUCACUGACAACAAGUCACAGUCUACCUCAGUGACCAGGUCC